rnacentral:misc_RNA from 1 species
GGGUUGGAAGUUUGUACGAAAGUCCUAUGUUUUUGAAGUAAGAGACUUGAAAUUUAAAAUGUAUGCUCUAUAGAUGGUGAGGAGGUGUCCAAAUAAUGUAUAUUUAGAAAUUAACUCCUUUUUGGGGUUAAAACGGGGGUUCGUAGGUUGACUCACUGAUCACGAAAUCUCCGAAACUAUAACACCUACAAACUUAAAAUUCAGCAGGUAGGCUCCUUUUAGAUCGUAGGCAUUCGCUAAGAACGGAUUUUACGAAACUCGACCCUUAAGGGGGUAAAACGGGGGUUGAAAGUUUGUAUGAAAGUCCUGUGUUUUUGAAGUAAGCUACUUGAAAUUUAAAAUGUAUACUCUAUAGAUGGUGAAGAGGUAUCCAAAUAAUGUAUCUUUAGAAAUAAAUUCUCUUUUGGGGUUAAAACGGGGGAUGGUAGAUUGACUCAUUCAUCAUGUAAUCUCCGAAACUAUAACACCUAAAUACUUGAAAUUUGGCAUGUAGGCUCCUUAUAAGACGUAGGCAUCCGCUAAGAACGAAUUUUACGAAACUCGACCCCUAAGGGGGUAAAACGGGGGUUGGAAGUUUGUACGAAAGUACUAUGUUUUUGAAGUAAGAGACUUGAAACUUAAAAUUAAUGCUCUAUAGAUGGUGAGAAGGUGUGUAAAUAAUGUAUCUUUAGAAAUCAACUCCCUUUUUGGGGUUAAAACGGGGGAUGGUAGGUUGACUCACUCAUCACGAAACCUCCGAAACUAUAACAGCUACAAACUUGAAAUUUGGCAAGUAGGUUUCUGAUAGGGCGUAGACGUUUUCUAAGAACUAAUUUUACGUAACUCGACCCCUGAGGGGAUAAAACGGGGGUUGAAAGUUUGUAUGAAAGUCCUAUGUUUUUGAAGUCAGAGACUUGAAAUUUAAAAUGUGUGCUCUAAAGAUAGUGAGGAGGUGUUCAAAUAAUGUAUCUUUAGAAAU